UCUCAGACCGGUUUUGGGAAAAUAGC
rnacentral:piRNA from 1 species